rnacentral:tRNA from 1 species
UCCCUGAUAGCUCAGUUGGUAAAGAAUCUGGCUGCAAUGCAGGAGACCCUGGUUCAAUUCCUGGGUUGGGAA